rnacentral:rRNA from 1 species
CUGGCGGCGUGCUUAACACAUGCAAGUCGAGUGCGCGUGCCGUAGCAAUACGGUAUGGCGCACGGCGCACGGGUGCGUAACACGUGGGCAAUCUGCCCUCCGAUGGGGAAUAACUCCGGGAAACCGAAGCUAAUUCCGCAUAACAUUCCCUAGACUCCGGUUUGGGGACUCAAAGCAGCAAUGCGUCGGAGGAGGAGCCCGCGCCCGAUUAGCUAGUUGGUGAGGUAACGGCUCACCAAGGCAAUGAUCGAUAGCUGGUCUGAGAGGAUGGCCAGCCACACUGGAACUGAGACACGGUCCAGACUCCUACGGGAGGCGGCAGUGGGGAAUCUUGCGCAAUGGGCGAAAGCCUGACGCAGCGACGCCGCGUGGGGGAUGAAGCUUCUCGGAGUGUAAACCCCUUUCGACCGGGACGAAUGCCCGCAAGGGAGUGACGGUACCGGUAGAAGAAGCCCCGGCUAACUACGUGCCAGCAGCCGCGGUAAGACGUAGGGGGCCAGCGUUGUUCGGAAUUACUGGGUGUAAAGGGUUCGUAGGCGGUGUGGCAAGUCGGGAGUGAAAUCUAUGGGCUUAACUCAUAGACUGCUUCC